AACGCGAAGAACCUUACCUACUCUUGACAUCCUACGAACCCGACUGAGAGGUUGGGGUGCCGAAAGGAACGUAGAGACAGGUGCUGCAUGGCUGUCGUCAGCUCGUGUUGUGAGAUGUUGGGUUAAGUCCCGUAACGAGCGCAACCCUUAUCCUUAGUUGCCAGUGCGUAAAGGCAGGCACUCUAAGGAGACUGCUGGUGAGGAACCGGAGGAAGGUGGGGACGACGUCAAGUCAUCAUGGCCUUUAUGAGUAGGGCUACACACGUGCUACAAUGGGGUGUACAGAGGGCAGCGAACCUGUGAAGGGGAGCCAAUCCUUGAAAGCAUCUCGUAGUCCGGAUUGAAGUCUGCAACUCGACUUCAUGAAGUCGGAAUCGCUAGUAAUCGCGAAUCAGAACGUCGCGGUGAAUACGUUCCCGGGCCUUGUACACACCGCUCGUC
rnacentral:rRNA from 1 species